AGAGAUUGUCGGGCAUCUCGAGGCGUGUGCACCGCCGGACCUCCUGGAUGCUGGAGCAGGCUGCUUGGAGUUUGGGCUUGGAACUCUAGGAGACCAAGCCCCCACACCCUCAUUUCUCAGCCUGAGAGUCAGAUUUGGGGAGCACAGCAGUCUCGCACAGCCCCUGCCCGGGCACUGGACACGCCAGAGCACAUGGGGCAUGGGGCCUCUGCGCUCCCAGCAGCUUUCACAGUCAGCCAGCCUCUUCAGAGCCUGUUUCCUGUCUGCAAAAUGGGUAAGGGCAACGUGGAAAGCUGUGCCUCAAUCCAUGGUUCUCUCAGACUCCCACUGACCAACGGUCCCUGUGCUCCCACCAGUGGCCUAUGGGCCUGCCUGGAGAGAAGAUAAGUGACGGCUGAGCCAGACCUUUCCUGUCUACCUCUCUGGGCCUUGCUUUCCCUCUUACCUUCACCUGCAACCGGUCCCACAACCUGCUGCCUGCCGAUCCCUGUGUGCUGAGGGGCAGAGGGCAGGGAUGGAUGGCCCUUCCAGAGUCUUCUAAGGUAAUUGGGCUGCACCCUACUCUGCCAUGUUCUCACAACCAUCUUGAGUGAGGCCUGUCACCAUUCAUACCCUGGAGACCCUGGCAGAGGGAGUGGCCAAGACCGCCCUGAGCUCCGGGUGCUGGUGCCCCCGCAGGAACGAAACACAGAGUUCCUGACACAAAGCUUCCGUUCUAGCCAGGGAGAUGGAUGCUCAACAGGAAGUAGACAGUAAGGCUAAGACAGGCAGGUGAGGAGGCAGUGAAGGGCCGACCUCUGUCGACUACGCUGAGAGCAGGGCUGAGCUUCCCAGGCACUAGGAUGGCCUCGCAAAGGCCCUGCAGUGGGAAGCACAUGGACACUUGCAGAGACGGACAGGUCUCGUGUCCCCCCAGAAGUCCCUAUGGGGUCUUGGCUGGGGGAGUCAGCUGGGGCUUAUUCCGAAUGGCAUGUGGAAGUGGCAGCUGGAUGUGUAGAUGUGGAGCGCAUGUUGAAUCCCUGGACAGAAGCAGGCCUGCUUGUGGGCCAGACCCAGCUCUGAUCACCGCCUCCACAGGAAGCUGUGGGGAAGAUGGCAUCUAACUCCCCAGACAGCAAAGGGCCUGGCACAGAGAGCCCCACGGUAUGGGCAGGCCAGGCCCUCACCAUGGCCUUGUUCCAUCCACUGUGCCAAUUCUGGCCACUGAAGGGGCCCUUACCCUCCAGCUAAAACCUUGAGGAGAGACCGCCCACCACCUGGCAUCCCGCAGGCCACUGCAGCCCCCUGGCAGUCUGUCUCUCUGUCACUCCUGUCCUACAAUGAGCAGCAGUGGGACAGGAAGUAGGACAUAACAUGUGGCUAGAGGUCUAGGGCCAAGUGACAUGCCUCUGCCCAGCACCCAUGCCUUCAAGGUGUCAUCUCCGGGGCCUGGAGCCGGGCUCUAGAGGUGCUCAGACGAGCCCUGGCCUGCCGCUUACUGCUUUGGUAUCAGGAUGGCAUCAACCACAGCCUCAGUGUACACGGGGACAGUAAGUAGAUCCUGCUGAUGCACCAGGAGCGAGGGGAGGAUGGGAGGUGGUCUUGGAUGUGGGCCUGAAAACAUGAAAGGCUUAAAGCAGGUUCCAGGUCCCUGUCUUAGACAGCCGGGUCCUCCAGAGCCCAAAUGGGUGCAAAGAAAAAACAGAUGAAACAUCAUUCUGGAAAAUGCUUACUCAAGUCUUACUGAUUAUUAUCAAAACACCAACCUAAAAAAACAAAGAAAAUGCCCUGUCUUGUUCCAAAAAGGAUUUUAGUCAGGUUACAGGGAUAUUCAGAGAGAGGGAGGGAGACAACUGCUAGAACACAGACCAUAGUCCCACUUGCCACAAAUUUGUCUCUGAGCUUCCUGGCAGCCAGUGCAAAGAGGGAUUCUCCAAGAGAAGUCAGCUCUUGUGUGCAGCAGUCCAUUAAAGGCUCUGGGAAGGACCAGAGCAGAGAAACCUGUUGAACCCAUGUGUUCCCCAGAUUUUGGCCACCUAAGGUCCUGCUCAGAAACCUCUGGGGCCUGCAUAAGCACAGCGCAACAACCUCCCCAUGGGGUUUGGGAAUUAGUCCUGGCCUUCAAUCGCAACUCUGCCUCAACCUCCUUGGACAAGCAACUCUCCUCCCCUGGCCUCAGUCUGUACUUUUGUAAGGUGAGAUACUGUCACUACUGUGCCAUGAGAAUUUAGCAAUACAGUGUAUACA